CGGCGCUGUACCCAUGUGGACGCAAUUGCCGUCCCUCCAGCAUGCGUUGCAGCGGUUUGCUUAGCAUGAAGGGUCUUGGACCGUUUGGCGGCAAGAACUCAGCAUCGUUCGAGCACGCACGGUAGAGAGCGUUGUGUGUUGGUAAUCCAUCGUUGAAGAAGGCUGAGAAUCGGUGGAGAUCACUGCAGUGGGCGGAUUUUCUUGUUUGAGAAGUCCUCCGCUCCCAAUUGAGUUUUGAGAGACAUUUCUGCAGUUCCCAGAUCUGGGAUUUCAUAUUACUCUUCUUUUGAGGCUCUGCUCCAUCAAUCUCUUUUACUGCCUGUGUAUUAGUACAAUACUCUCGAGAUGAA